rnacentral:lncRNA from 10 species
AGUUGGGUGCAGUGAGCAGCGAGAUUAAAAUUUCACCCCGCUGGAAGUCACAGUUACGAGAACCCAAGACCUAAUCUGCUGGCAAAAAGAAAAUGGGAGUCUCGCCAUCUUGCCCAGGCUCAUUUCAAACUCCUGAGCACAAGCGAUCCUUCAUCUUGGCGUCCUGAACUGCUGGGAUUAAAGGCACAGUGGCUCAUAUCUGUACGACCAGCUACUUGGAAGAUUGAGGAGGGAGUAUCCCUUGAGUCCAGGAGUUCCGAUCAGAUUGAGCAAUAUAAAGAGACCCCGUCACAAAACAAAAUAAACAAGAAAAAAUUUAAUUUGUAUUUAUGGGAUGGAAAAAUUCUAUAAAGAGAAAAUUCCACCUCCUCUACUGUUAGUGGUGAAGCUCACAUAAGAAAGAGCCAGCUGAGAGUCUGUCAAGGGGAGACCCAAAACCAGAGAAACUCCUUUUCUUCUUUGUCUCAAUCACAUCAUUUUCUAGGGACACCAAUUCAUCAAGAAGCAAGAGUUUUGCUGUCAGUUCCUCCUGCAUUCAUUCUUCCUGCUGCCUUGUGAAGAAGGUGCCUUGCUUCCCCUUUGCCUUCCACCAUGAUUGUAAGUUUAACGAGGACUCCCCAGCCAUGCAGAACUGUUCACAACCUUGAAUGGCAUGUUGGCAAUAAAAAGAAGACAAUAAAAAACUACCGAUUUUCUUGAU